GCCGGACGCAGUGGCACGCGCCUGUAGUCCCAGCUACUCAGGAGGCUGAGGUGGGAGAACUGCUUGAGCCCAGGAGUUCUGGGCUGUAGAGCGCUAUGCCAAUCGGGUGUCCGCACGAAGUUCGGCAUCAAUAUGGUGACCUCCCGGGAGCAGGGGACCACCGGGUUGCCUAAGGAGGGGUGAACUGGCCCAGGUCGGAAAUGGAGCAGGUCAAAACUCCAGUGUUGAUCAGUAGUGGGAUCGCGCCUGUGAAUAGCCACUGCACUCCAGCCUGGGCAACAUAGCAAGACCCCGUCUCUU
rnacentral:SRP_RNA from 1 species